UGGGGGAUAUUGCACAAUGGGCGAAAGCCUGAUGCAGCGACGCCGCGUGGGGGAUGAAGGCCUUCGGGUUGUAAACUUCUUUUGCUCUGAACAAGGCAUGCUAAUGGGUGUGUUGAGUGUAGGGGUUGAUUAGCGCCGGCUAACUACGUGCCAGCAGCCGCGGUAAUCCGUAGGGCGCGAGCGUUGUCCGGAAUUAUUGGGCGUAAAGGGCUUGUAGGUGGCUGGUUGCGUCUGUCGUGAAAUCUCAUGGCUUAACUGUGGGUUUGCGGUGGGUACGGGCUGGCUUGAGUGCAGUAGGGGAGGCUGGAAUUCCUGGUGUAGCGGUGGAAUGCGCAGAUAUCAGGAGGAAUACCGGUGGCGAAGGCGGGUCUCUGGGCUGUUACUGACACUGAGGAGCGAAAGCAUGGGGAGCGAACAGG
rnacentral:rRNA from 1 species